rnacentral:rRNA from 1 species
UACAGAGGUCUCAAGCGUUGUUCGGAUUCACUGGGCGUAAAGGGUGCGUAGGCGGCUCGGUAAGUCGGGUGUGAAAUCUCGGAGCUUAACUCCGAAACUGCAUUCGAUACUGCCGUGCUUGAGGACUGGAGAGGAGACUGGAAUUUACGGUGUAGCGGUGAAAUGCGUAGAUAUCGUAAGGAAGACCAGUGGCGAAGGCGGGUCUCUGGACAGUUACUGACGCUGAGGCACGAAGGUCAGGGGAGCAAACAGG